UUCAUUACAUAUAUAUAUAUACUUUCAGAGGAUGAAAUUCAUGAAAAAAUCCAGUUUUCUCACGGCCAAGCCAAAAACCAGGAUAGGGAUCUGGAACAUCAGAACCCUAUGCUUCUUUGGGGGUGAUUGAGAACAAGGAGAAAAGAAGAUACAGGCUAACAGGCUGGGAUGCAAGAAGCUUGCUUUGAAGGAAGACAAUGUGUGAGUGGUUCUAGAAGCAGAUGGCACAGAAGUUGAUGAAGAAGACUACUUCAGUUUUCUUCCCAGUGAUGCGACUCUGUUAUUUCUUACAAACGACGACAAGUGGAGACAUGAGAGUUCCGAACCAGUAUCUCGUGAUGAACCAGAUUCAGCUGAUGGCACCACAAAAAAGCUUCCAAGUAGUCACAAAAUGGCAGCUCUACUGAAGGCAAUAUUUCACGUAUAAUUAGCAUGUCUGAUGAGGAUUUACAGGUUCUAGCAGAUGCAGAUACCACAGAACUGGCCCAAGAUCUUGGGGAAUCCAUGGUAUAUGGACAGUCCUUACAGGAAGCAUGCCAACGCCAUCUUGAUGACCGGGUUCAGACAAGAAAAGCCAUUGAUUUGCUGCGUUUGUACAGCAAAGCUCACUCCAUCAGUCCAUAUGUUGAGACAGAAAGUAGCAAAAAGCGUCGCCACAGCAGGGACAUAUCGUCAUAUUCAUGAACCAAGGCCAAACUUUCAUGACAGGGAAGAAUAGGUUGUGUGCCUUUGAGACGUGAAAGCUCUCUCGUGUGAUCAGCUAGCAAGUUAUUGUUUUUUUUUUUGCCUGCAGACCACAUCAUGGUGGCAAGCACCAGCAUAAAUCUGUGUAUAAUUCCAUGAUUUUUGUGGAAGAAAAUUGGUUGUUAAUUUAGCUUGUAAACAUGACUUAUCACAUACUGGGAGAAAUGCUUUUGUUUCAGCUUGAAUAUCAUUAAGAGUAACAGCUGCUCACUCAGCUUGAUAAACAUCAUUAACCUUCUUAGCAAGGUGGUGUUGUGGUCCUGUGCUCCUCAAAGGAGCAACAAGGAAUAAACUAAAACUAGACUAACCUUAUUAGCAUGGCAUAAAAGUAUAACUACUUACUAAAACAAUGGCUUAUAAUUAAAGAUGACAGUGGUUGAUGUUUUUAUCAUUGCUGCUCUGAGGUAAACAUUAGAUCAAGAAGCCUAUACAUUUUUGGAAGGGAGAAAACUUGAGCUAAAAUAAAAGUAAUGAAGAUUGCCUACUUUCACUCUGGUGACAGCAAUAAUCCAAGAAAAUUCACAAUUUACUAUUAAAAAAAAAAAUCAACACAUACAUGUGGGCUACAUGCCUUUAUCAUCAACAUCGACAAAAAUCUAUCUCCAUCAAUUAGCAGCAAAUAAACUGGAACAAAUAUCUUAAAAUUGCUGGCAUAGUCGCUGGUGUCGCAAAGUCAUCCUUAGCGCGGUUGCUCAAUGGUCACUAAUACUUUUUCAAGAAAUAAUUGCUCAGAAUAAAUCCAAACUGCAACAAGAAUAGAACCAAACUUAGGUCAACCAACAGAAGAGGUUUUCUUAGAUCAUAUGAGCAGAGCCACAUUCGUGACUCAUUGUACUGAAAGGGCUAAGGGUAAGAGGUAACGGCUGUUCUUGACAUCCUUCUCAAUAGUGUCAAUUAUAAUAAUGGUGUGCUUUACUGAAUUUUUGGUAAAUGACACUUUUAUAUUGUUUUUGAAUUGCGUUACUGAUGUAGAGUGUGAUAAUAAACAAUGAGUUUCCAUCAUGGAUGUGUACAGGUGGAUUGCUGUCUGCCAAGACCAACGCUUAGCCUCUUACGAAGUUCUCCGCUGUUAGUCUCGGCAAGCCUAAAACAAGAAUGUUACUAAACUGGAAGCUUUGUACAUGCCUUGUUUUAGUAGUUAUCCGAAAUAUGAACAAACUGGAAGCUUUGUAGUAUCAUGCCUUCAUUAAUUUAACUUAUGUAAAUAGACUACAUCUAUGUGCACCUCUGUAUGUUGUAAUUAUUGCGUCCAGUCUUGUUCUUCUGGUCCUACAGUGAUGUAGUGUUUUCAGUACUUAUGUCCAGUUUUUCUGUUUUUGUAAACAUAUUAUUUUCAUUGACUUGCUUGCUUAGAAGUUGGUGCACAGCAGUGUUGGAUGAAAAAAGUGCUGGUAAUAAAAACCUGAAUGACUUGUCA